GAUUAACGCUGGCGGCGUGCCUAACACAUGCAAGUCGAACGAGGUAGCAAUACCUAGUGGCAGACGGGUGAGUAACGCGUGGUCAACCUACCGUUGAGUGGGGGAUAACUAGCCGAAAGGUUAGCUAAUACCGCAUACGUCUCCGAGGGGCAUCCCUUGGCGAUAAAAGGAGCAAUCCGCUCGAUGACGGGACCGCGUCCCAUUAGCUAGAUGGUGGGGUAACGGCCUACCAUGGCACCGAUGGGUAGCUGGUUUGAGAGAGCGACCAGCCACACUGGGACUGAGAAACGGCCCAGACUCCUACGGGAGGCAGCAGUGAGGAAUUUUCCGCAAUGGGCGCAAGCCUGACGGAGCGACGCCGCGUGUGGGAAGAAGGCCUUCGGGUCGU
rnacentral:rRNA from 1 species